UGCCAACCGAAGAAGUCUAAUCAGCUAUGUGU
rnacentral:piRNA from 1 species